UACGGAGGGAGCUAGCGUUGGUCGGAUAUACUGGGCGUAAAGCGCACGUAGGCGGCGCAGCAAGUCAGGGGUGAAAUCCCGGAGCUCAACUCCGGAACUGCCUUUGAAACUGCAGUGCUAGAAUCCUGGAGAGGCGAGUGGAAUUCCGAGUGUAGAGGUGAAAUUCGUAGAUAUUCGGAAGAACACCAGUGGCGAAGGCGACUCGCUGGACAGGUAUUGACGCUGAGGUGCGAAAGCGUGGGGAGCAAACAGG
rnacentral:rRNA from 1 species